rnacentral:rRNA from 1 species
CUAUACAUGCAAGUUGAGCGCUGAAGGUUGGUACUUGUACCAACUGGAUGAGCAGCGAACGGGUGAGUAACGCGUGGGGAAUCUGCCUUUGAGCGGGGGACAACAUUUGGAAACGAAUGCUAAUACCGCAUAAAAACUUUAAACACAAGUUUUAAGUUUGAAAGAUGCAAUUGCAUCACUCAAAGAUGAUCCCGCGUUGUAUUAGCUAGUUGGUGAGGUAAAGGCUCACCAAGGCGAUGAUACAUAGCCGACCUGAGAGGGUGAUCGGCCACAUUGGGACUGAGACACGGCCCAAACUCCUACGGGAGGCAGCAGUAGGGAAUCUUCGGCAAUGGACGAAAGUCUGACCGAGCAACGCCGCGUGAGUGAAGAAGGUUUUCGGAUCGUAAAACUCUGUUGGUAGAGAAGAACGUUGGUGAGAGUGGAAAGCUCAUCAAGUGACGGUAACUACCCAGAAAGGGACGGCUAACUACGUGCCAGCAGCCGCGGUAAUACGUAGGUCCCGAGCGUUGUCCGGAUUUAUUGGGCGUAAAGCGAGCGCAGGUGGUUUAUUAAGUCUGGUGUAAAAGGCAGUGGCUCAACCAUUGUAUGCAUUGGAAACUGGUAGACUUGAGUGCAGGAGAGGAGAGUGGAAUUCCAUGUGUAGCGGUGAAAUGCGUAGA